CUACCAUGCAAGUCGAGCGGAAGGCCCUUCGGGGUACUCGAGCGGCGAACGGGUGAGUAACACGUGAGCAACCUGCCCCAGGCUUUGGGAUAACCCCGGGAAACCGGGGCUAAUACCGAAUAUGACCUCUGACCGCAUGGUUGGUGGUGGAAAGUUUUUCGGCUUGGGAUGGGCUCGCGGCCUAUCAGCUUGUUGGUGGGGUGAUGGCCUACCAAGGCGACGACGGGUAGCCGGCCUGAGAGGGCGACCGGCCACACUGGGACUGAGACACGGCCCAGACUCCUACGGGAGGCAGCAGUGGGGAAUAUUGCACAAUGGGCGGAAGCCUGAUGCAGCGACGCCGCGUGAGGGAUGACGGCCUUCGGGUUGUAAACCUCUUUCAGCAGGGACGAAGCGUAAGUGACGGUACCUGCAGAAGAAGCGCCGGCCAACUACGUGCCAGCAGCCGCGGUAAGACGUAGGGCGCGAGCGUUGUCCGGAUUUAUUGGGCGUAAAGAGCUCGUAGGCGGCUUGUCGCGUCGACCGUGAAAACUUGGGGCUCAACCCCAAGCCUGCGGUCGAUACGGGCAGGCUAGAGUUCGGUAGGGGAGACUGGAAUUCCUGGUGUAGCGGUGAAAUGCGCAGAUAUCAGGAGGAACACCGGUGGCGAAGGCGGGUCUCUGGGCCGAUACUGACGCUGAGGAGCGAAAGCGUGGGGAGCGAACAGGAUUAGAUACCCUGGUAGUCCACGCUGUAAACGUUGGGCGCUAGGUGUGGGGGGCCUCUCCGGUUCCCUGUGCCGCAGCUAACGCAUUAAGCGCCCCGCCUGGGGAGUACGGCCGCAAGGCUAAAACUCAAAGGAAUUGACAGGGGCCCGCACAAGCGGC
rnacentral:rRNA from 1 species